UAUUCCACGCCGUAAACGAUGGUCACUAGCUGUUCGGACUUCGGUUUGAGUGGUUAAGCGAAAGUGAUAAGUGACCCACCUGGGGAGUACGUUCGCAAGAAUGAAACUCAAAGGAAUUGACGGGGGCCCGCACAAGCGGUGGAGCAUGUGGUUUAAUUCGAUGAUACGCGAGGAACCUUACCAGGGCUUAAAUGUAAGUUGCAUUAGUUAGAGAUAGCUAUUUCUUCGGACUACUUACAAGGUGCUGCAUGGUUGUCGUCAGCUCGUGCCGUGAGGUGUCAGGUUAAGUCCCGCAACGAGCGCAACCCCUAUUUUCAGUUGCCAGCGGUUCGGCCGGGGACUCUGAAAAGACUGCCCACGCAAGUGGAGAGGAAGGCGGGGACGACGUCAAAUCAUCAUGGCCUUUAUGCCUAGGGCUACACACGUGCUACAAUGGACGGUACAACGGGUAGCGAAGCCGCAAGGUGGAGCCAAUCCAAAAGCCGUUCCCAGUUCGGAUUGGGGUCUGCAACCGACCCCAUGAAGUCGG
rnacentral:rRNA from 1 species